GACGAACGCUGGCGGCGUGCUUAACACAUGCAAGUCGAACGAUGAAGAAGAGAAACGCGAACUUCGGUUCAAAUUUCACUUCGGAUUAGUGGCAGACGGUUGAGUAACGCGUGAGCAACCUACCUCUUACAAAGGGAUAGCCUCGGGAAACCGUGAUUAAUACCAUAUGACACAUUCAUAAGGCAUCUUAAGAAUGUUAAAGCUACGGCGGUAAGAGAUGGGCUCGCGUCCCAUUAGCUAGUUGGUGAGGUAACGGCCCACCAAGGCGACGAUGGGUAACCGGCGUGAGAGGGUGAACGGUCACAUUGGAACUGAGACACGGUCCAAACUCCUACGGGAGGCAGCAGUGGGGAAUAUUGCACAAUGGAGGGAACUCUGAUGCAGCGACGCCGCGUGAGCGAUGAAGGAAUUCGUUUCGUAAAGCUCUGUUCUAUGGGAAGAAAAGGACUGUACCAUAGGAGAAAGCCCCGGCUAAAUACGUG
rnacentral:rRNA from 1 species